GAUGAACGCUGGCGGCGUGCCUAAUACAUGCCAGUCGAGCGAACGGACGAGAGGCUUGCUUCUCUGAUGUUAGCGGCGGACGGGUGAGUAACACGUGGAUAACCUACCUAUAAGACUGGGAUAACUUCGGGAAACCGGAGCUAAUACCGGAUAAUAUUUUGAACCGCAUGGUUCAAAAGUGAAAGACGGUCUUGCUGUCACUUAUAGAUGGAUCCGCGCUGCAUUAGCUAGUUGGUAAGGUAACGGCUUACCAAGGCAACGAUGCAUAGCCGACCUGAGAGGGUGAUCGGCCACACUGGAACUGAGACACGGUCCAGACUCCUACGGGAGGCAGCAGUAGGGAAUCUUCCGCAAUGGGCGAAAGCCUGACGGAGCAACGCCGCGUGAGUGAUGAAGGUCUUCGGAUCGUAAAACUCUGUUAUUAGGGAAGAACAUAUGUGUAAGUAACUGUGCACAUCUUGACGGUACCUAAUCAGAAAGCCACGGCUAACUACGUG
rnacentral:rRNA from 1 species